UACGGAGGGGGCUAGCGUUAUUCGGAAUUAUUGGGCGUAAAGAGCGUGUAGGCGGCCAGGUAGGUCUGCUGUGAAAACUCGAGGCUCAACCUCGAGACGUCGGCGGAAACCAUCUGGCUAGAGUCCGGAAGAGGAGAGUGGAAUUCCUGGUGUAGCGGUGAAAUGCGCAGAUAUCAGGAAGAACACCAGUGGCGAAGGCGCUCUGCUAGGCCGUAACUGACACUGAGGGACGAAAGCUAGGGGAGCGAAUGGG
rnacentral:rRNA from 1 species